UACGUAGGGUGCAAGCGUUAAUCGGAAUUACUGGGCGUAAAGCGUGCGCAGGCGGUGAUGUAAGACAGAUGUGAAAUCCCCGGGCUCAACCUGGGAACUGCAUUUGUGACUGCAUCGCUGGAGUACGGCAGAGGGGGAUGGAAUUCCGCGUGUAGCAGUGAAAUGCGUAGAUACGCGGAGGAACACCGAUGGCGAAGGCAAUCCCCUGGGCCUGUACUGACGCUCAUGCACGAAAGCGUGGGGAGCAAACAGG
rnacentral:rRNA from 1 species